rnacentral:lncRNA from 1 species
UGAGUGGUCUCCGGCCCCUCCCUCCCUGAACGGCAGGCCGACGACAACACUCCGCUGAGGGCAGACCCCACCAGUUCGUGGCGCCAAACCCUCCGCGGCAUGCUCCUGCCGCUGCUCACGCCACUCGAUUCGUCCGGUCGGGGCAGCGGAAGGUGACCCCAUGCAGGUUUACGGCGUGGUGAAUUUCUGCUUCCGGAUUUAACACUCACAGACCAGACUGAGAAGCCUGGGGGCCUAGACUUGUUCAGUAACGUGCCCUUCCCCCACUACGGAUCAAAGCUACGAGGAGAGUGGGAAAUCAGGAACUCCUUUGGUAAGCAGUUUGCCCUUUAGAGUAGAUUUUAGAGUUAUUUCUCAGGUGUGCUGUAGGUUUGCAGUCUUCCCUCAAACUGGUUUUCCUUCUGAAUGUCAUCUUGGAAGUAGUAGAGUACUGUAACAGUUGUUCACUCCUGCAUCUUCAAAAAGUAAGCAGAUAAGGCCUCCUUAGCAGGGCACUCCAUCUUGCCCUUCAGCCACACUCCUCCAUGUAAAUUGACAUUUCCUCUUCCUGUACUGUUAACACAGGAAUUCAUACUAAGGAGGUGGCAUUCGGAAAUCCAUGUUUAGAGUGACUUGUAUUUAGGAUCCAGAAUAAAAAGCAAUGAAAUGGGAAUAGCCUGAAGCAGCAAAUUUGAUGACUGUGUUGUGUAGAUAGUUUUCAAGGAAUUUCUGGCUGAUGAUAUUGAAAUAGAACAGAAUUUCAUGAUCAGGACGCAGCGUGAAUUCUGCUUGUAUCCGAUUGCUGUUGAGAUUAUUAUAUGCAUGGCGUAUGAACAAGUGGAGCCCUGUGGAGGCAUGGCAGGACAGCUGUGAAGGAGAAGAUUGUAGAUUUUCUUAGUUCUACUAUUCUCUCAGGA